UGCACCUACAGGCUUAAAACCGGGGCAAAAAUCAACGUUUUAAGUUGGGGCGACUGCGGGGGAAAACACAACCCCCAUGAAACACGAACUAUUUCAAGUGGACACACUAAUAAUAGAAGUUUUGACCCAGUAUAACUGACCAACGAACCAAGUUACCCCAGGGAUAACAGCGCAAUCCCCUUCAAGAGUCCCUAUCGCCAAGGGGGUUUACGACCUCGAUGUUGGAUCAGGACAUCCAGAUGGUGUAGCCGCUAUCAAGGGUUCGUUUGUUCAACGAUUAACAGUCCU
rnacentral:rRNA from 1 species